AGCAGUGUGGCUCAAUGGAAGGAGCCCGGGCUUGGAAGUCCGAGGUCAUGGAUUCGAAUCCCGACUCUGCUC
rfam:Ornithorhynchus anatinus chromosome 2, whole genome shotgun sequence.